rnacentral:rRNA from 1 species
AACGCGAAGAACCUUACCUACCCUUGACAUGUCAGGAAGUCUGCAGAGAUGCGGAUGUGCUCGAAAGAGAACCUGAACACAGGUGCUGCAUGGCUGUCGUCAGCUCGUGUCGUGAGAUGUUGGGUUAAGUCCCGCAACGAGCGCAACCCUUGUCAUUAGUUGCCAUCAUUUAGUUGGGCACUCUAAUGAGACUGCCGGUGACAAACCGGAGGAAGGUGGGGAUGACGUCAAGUCCUCAUGGCCCUUACGGGUAGGGCUACACACGUGCUACAAUGGCAGUGACAAUGGGAUAAUCCCAAAAAGCUGUCUCAGUUCAGAUUGUCCUCUGCAACUCGAGGGCAUGAAGGUGGAAUCGCUAGUAAUCGUGGAUCAGCAUGCCACGGUGAAUACGUUCCCGGGGUCUGUACACACCG